rnacentral:rRNA from 1 species
AGCUCUAAUAGCGUAUAUUAAUGUUGUUGCAGUUAAAAAGCUCGUAGUUGGAUUUUGGUGUUUGACAAACGGUCGGCCUUACGGUUGGUACUGUUUGUUGGCACUUAUUUUCUGGGGAACUCACUGAUCUUAAUUGAUGGGUGUUGUAACGCAGAUCGUUUACUUUGAAAAAAUUAGAGUGUUCAAAGCAGGCCAUCGCAUUGAAUACAUUAGCAUGGAAUAAUGGAAUAGGACUUUGGUCUUAUUUUGUUGGUUUCUAAGGCCGAGGUAAUGAUUAAUAGGGAUAGUUGGGGGCGUUUAUAUUCCGUUGUCAGAGGUGAAAUUCUUGGAUUUACGGAAGAUAAACUACUGCGAAAGCAUUCGCCAAGGAUGUUUUCA